UUGGCAAUCUCAGUGUUUUUUAUAGUCACUACUUCCUCCAUUUGCUUGCCCUUUACCCAUUCAGUAGCGACGGAGGAGGACGCGAUGGCGGAUCCGCACCCAAAGGUCUUGAAGCAUGCGUCGACGAUCUUGCCGGAGCUCUCGUCGACGCGGAUCUGCAGCUUCAUCACGUCGCCGCAGGCCGGCGCCCCCACCAGCCCCGUCCCGACGCUGGGGUCGUCGUUCUCGAACGACCCCACGUUCCGCGGGUUCUCG
rnacentral:misc_RNA from 1 species